rnacentral:rRNA from 1 species
UAUGGCCAUACCACCCUGAACAUGCCCGAUCUCGUCUGAUCUCAGAAGCUAAGCAGGGUCAGGCCUGGUUAGUACGUGGAUGGGAGACAGAUUCAGAGGGUCCAGUUGGGGCCCUGC